rnacentral:rRNA from 1 species
CGAGCACGCGCGUGUGGCAUAUCAAUAAGCGGAGGAAAAGAAACUAACAAGGAUUCCCUUAGUAACGGCGAGUGAAGCGGGAAAGAGCUCAAAUUUGAAAUCUUCAAGGUUCUACCUUGACGAAUUGUAGUUUAUAAGAAGUGUUUUCUGUUAGUGGAGUUGGCUAAAAGUUCUUUGGAAUAGGACAUCAUAGAGGGUGAGAAUCCCGUAUUUGGUCAUUCCUCCUAGCGUUGUGAUACACUUUCAACGAGUCGGAUUGUUUGGGAAUGCAGUCCAAAAUGGGUGGUAAAUUUCAUCUAAAGCUAAAUAUUGGCGAGAGACCGAUAGCGAACAAGUACCGUGAGGGAAAGAUGAAAAGAACUUUGAAAAGAGAGUUAAACAGUACGUGAAAUUGUCAAAAGGGAAGCGUUUGACACCAGUGUUGUUUUUCCGAAAAUCAAUUACGAAUGUUUUGUUUUUGAGGAGUUAUGACUUCAUCGGCUUGCUCCUUUCUUUACGAAACUUUCUUAAUGCACUUUUCGGUUAACAAGUCAACAUCAAUUUCUUUUGUUGUAAAAGGGUAUGAGGAAGGUGGCUUUCUUUUCGGAGAAAGUGUUUAUAGCCUUGUGCCUCUGCAAUCGGAGAGAUUGAGGUCUGCAGCGUAGAUCCUUCGGGGUUAGAUACGUUUGUGCUAAGUUAUAGCUUUUCAUAGACAACUUGUUGACUAUGUUUAGUCUUGUAGCUUACUCGCUGACGCUAUUUUACCUACGCUUAGGAUGUUGAGUAGCGACAUACGCAC